rnacentral:rRNA from 1 species
UACGAAGGGUGCAAACGUUGCUCGGAAUUAUUGGGGCGUAAAGCGCACGUAGGCGGCUUAGCAAGUCGGAUGUGAAAGCCCUCGGCUCAACCAAGGAAGUGCAUCCGAAACUGCUGAGCUUGAGUACUUAAGAGGAUCGCGGAAUUCCCGGUGUAGAGGUGAAAUUUGUAGAUAUCGGGAGGAACACCAGUGGCGAAGGCGGCGAUCUGGGAAGAUACUGACGCUGAGGUGCGAAAGCGUGGGGAGCAAACAGG